rnacentral:misc_RNA from 1 species
CCCCGAAGCUAUAUACGUUCCCUGCCAUUGUUACUCUCAUUGUGUAAGCAUAUUCUGGAGGAAUAUAGCCGACAGAACCAGCAACUGUUGAAAGGCUACCAGUGCUCUUGGAGGGAUCGAUCACUUUGUGGAGUUCAAUGUCUCCAACUAAAGGCUCCUUCAGGGACUUCAGAAAAAUAUUUCUGCUUGAAAGGUCAAGGAGAAGUAUUGGUCCAGAGGAGUAUCCGUGCAGAAAAGCAAGACCCUGAGCCACUCCAACUGCUAUACUGUAACGACUUCCCCAGUCCAAUGCAUUUCCCAGUUUACCAUGAAGAACAUCAAAAAGGGUACCCUUCUGAGCAUGCUCAUAGAAGAGAAAAGCACUAUCAACAGUCAAUACAUAUGCCAAAGGAGCCAUGACAUUUGAAUUGCUUAGCUUCCCUAAAACUUCCAGCUCUUGAUCAAAUUUAUCAUGGCCUCCCAAUUGGAAUAUCUUGUCAC